GUGGAGAAGGACGCCGAAGGUGGGGCUGAUGACUGGGGUGAAGUCGUAACAAGGUAGCCGUACCGGAAGGUGCGGCUGGAUCACCUCCUAACAGGGAGACAAAUAAUUGAUUGUGAUGUCUAAGUGAUUUAUUCUUAGGCCUCAAUCCUGUCACCUUAGGUCGAUCGGUACCUCAGAUUUUUGAAUUAAUUCUAGAAUUAAUUGUUUAAUUUCAGUUCCUAAACUUGUCUAGGUCACACCCAACAAAGGUUUCUCCUGGGCCAUUAGCUCAGGUGGUUAGAGCGCACCCCUGAUAAGGGUGAGGUCCCUGGUUCAAGUCCAGGAUGGCCCAUUCGUUGUUGGGGGUAUAGCUCAGUUGGUAGAGCGCCUGCUUUGCAAGCAGGAUGUCAGCGGUUCGAGUCCGCUUACCUCCACUGAAACCUAUCCUGAUAACUAAAUUUCCGGAGAAAACUCUUAGAUGUGACUUAGAAUUGUCUAUCUGAAAAGAACCUAGCUUCUUAUCAUCUAUUUAAAAGUUGAUAAUAUGCUGGGCUCACAUGGAUUUAUUCCGUGAGAAUUCAGUAGAACCUUGAAAACUGCAUAGAUUAGAAAGAAUAAAGCAUCUCAUGGAUGCAUUAUUUUGACCUGAUUUUUUAGCGUCAAAAACUAAAUUAUCAUUUCUCAAAAUACAUGUUUAAUUCUUGAGUAAUAGCCGAGCACAAUUAAUUUUGUGAUUGUAUUAAGGUCAAGCUACAAAGGGCUCAUGGCGGAUACCU
rnacentral:misc_RNA from 1 species